rnacentral:lncRNA from 1 species
GGCAACCCGCUCGGUCCUCUUACACACUGUGGUAGCUUUGUUCUUUUGCUCUUUGCAAUAAAUCUUGCUACUGCUCACUCUUUGGGUCCACACUGCCUUUAUGAGCUGUAACACUCACCGGGAAGGUCUGCAGCUUCACUCCGGAAGCCAGCGAGACCAGGAGCCCACCGGAAGGAACAAACAACUCCAGACGCCCCGCCUUGAGAGCUGUAACACUCACCCUGAAGGUCUGCGGCUUCACUCCUGAGCCAGCGAGACCACGAACCCACCAGAAGGAAGAAACUGAACACAUCUGAACAUCAGAAGGAACAAACUCCGGACACGCCGCCUUUAAGAACGGCCUCAAGCUACUGUGGAAAAACCAUAUCGCAUUCAAAAGUGUCUUUCAACUAUAAAAAGAAUACCCCAGAGAAUCUUCUCCAAAAACAUUUCUUCCAGCUGUCUGUGGGGCCUUGUGAAAUCAAAGGUAAGAAAAACUCAGAAGUUCAGAAGGCACAAAGGCAUCAUCUCCCAAGAAUAGUCUAACACAAGUGUGAGAGUGAAUACACAGAAUACACUGCUGAAGCUGAUAGUGACUAACUCAACUGAGACUAAGUGCAUAGUUAAGAAAAACAUGGUUCUGCUGAAAGGAAAAAUCUCCAGAAG